CAACUAAAAACCUCUGACCGUAUCAGUGGAAGUGAACAAAGACAUAAACAAAGCACUGCGAGUGUUCCAGACUUGUUGCCUGUUUACUGUGCCUGUGUGCACACCUCUUACAAAUACAUCACUUUCUGCCAUCAGAACAGAAGGGUUUGGUUUACUCUGCUCCCCACGGGGAAAAGUUUCCUGUUUUCUUCACAUUAAUCAAGUGCUUGGUGCUGCUGAGUUUGAGCUGAUCUUCUGCAGCUGAGGGAAAGAACAAAAUCCA